rnacentral:tRNA from 1 species
GGAUUGUGGCUCAGCGGUAGAGCGCUUGCCUAGCAUGGGUGUGACCUGGGUUCGAUUCUCAGCACCA